UAUGGCCAUAUCGUGUUGAAACACCAGUUUUUGUACGAUCACUGAAGUUAAGCAACAUUAAACCUGGUCAGUACCUGGAUGGGUGUCCACUUGGGAAUACCAGUUGCUGUAA